rnacentral:rRNA from 1 species
CGUGGGGAACCUGCCCCAUAGUCUGGAUACCACUUGGAAACAGGUGCUAAUACCGGAUAAGAAAGCAGAUCGCAUGAUCAGCUUUUAAAAGGCGGCGUAAGCUGUCGCUAUGGGAUGGCCCCGCGGUGCAUUAGCUAGUUGGUAAGGUAAAGGCUUACCAAGGCGAUGAUGCAUAGCCGAGUUGAGAGACUGAUCGGCCACAUUGGGACUGAGACACGGCCCAAACUCCUACGGGAGGCAGCAGCG